AUAAAAUGAAAACUUCAUUAAAAAUAACUAGAUUUAGAAAAUGAAUAAUUUGGAUCAAAUAAAAAUUUGUUUAAAAUAAACUGAUUUAAAAAGAAAUAAUUUGAUUAAAGUGAAAAAUAAAUUUAAAAAAAAAUUAUUCCAAUAGAAUAAAAAUGUUAAUUAAAAGAAAGAGGUUUAAAAAUAAUUUGGAUAAAAAAUGUCAAAUAAAUUGGUUUAACAAUUAAUAAUUGGAAUAAAAUAAAAUGUUGAUUAAAAUUGACUUUAAAAUGUGAUUGAAAUAAAUCAGUUAAUAUUAAAUUGUAUUAUUAAAAUUAAUUUAAAAAUAAAUAAUUUGGAUAAAAUACAUAAUUAAAAAAUUAAUUGGUUCAAAAGUAAACGCUUAUUCAAAAGUAAAUGAUUCGGAUUUUAAAAAGUUGCUAAAAAAAUAUUUUCAUUAAAUAAGCAUUUUCCAAAUAAUAUUGUAUGCAUAUUUAUAAUAGUUUUUCACAAUAUCGUUUUUUAAGCUGCCCUUUAAAUGUUAGAAUGGCCCUCUUGCGCCAGGAUGAUGAUUUUUAGGGGUCCAUGGCAUCUGAAAGAUUGAAAACCCCCGAGUUUGUUAAAUCAUGUAUGAUUGAAGAUGAUGCAGAUGUGAGUCUCAGGGAUGCACAGAUGUUCCUCAUAACAUCAGCUGUCACAAACAAACAAUCUGUUAAUAUGUGUUUAUUUUGUAUGUCAUUAACAAAAAACAGUACUGUAUUACACUGUAUUAGUAUUACCAUGGUACCACCAAAGUACAUUCUGAGAGUUGAGAGUGUGUGUAUUGUGAUUACUUUUGUACGGCAUGUCGUUGUUUUACAGUAUUUUUUUACAAACAAAUGCAAAUGUUUUACGAAUGAACACAAAUUUUAAGCAAACAAACAAGAAUGUUUUAUGAAUGAAUGCAAAAGUUUUGCAAAUGAAUGCAAAUUUUUUACGAAUAAACGCAAAUGUUUUACAAAUUAACACAUUUUUUUACGAACAAACGCAAAUGUUUUGCAAACAAAUGCGAAUGUUUUAUAAACAAACGCAAAUGUUUUACGAAUAAACACAAACGUUUUG
ensembl:lncRNA